rnacentral:rRNA from 1 species
CCUACGGGAGGCUGCAGUGGGGAAUAUUGGACAAUGGGCGAAAGCCUGAUCCAGCCAUGCCGCGUGUGUGAAGAAGGCCUUCGGGUUGUAAAGCACUUUCAGUGGGGAAGAAAGCCUUGGGGCUAAUACCCUCGAGGAAGGACAUCACCAACAGAAGAAGCACCGGCUAACUCCGUGCCAGCAGCCGCGGUAAUACGGAGGGUGCGAGCGUUAAUCGGAAUUACUGGGCGUAAAGCGCGCGUAGGCGGUCUGAUAAGCCGGUUGUGAAAGCCCCGGGCUCAACCUGGGAACGGCAUCCGGAACUGUCAGGCUAGAGUGCAGGAGAGGAAGGUAGAAUUCCCGGUGUAGCAGUGAAAUGCGUAGAGAUCGGGAGGAAUACCAGUGGCGAAGGCGGCCUUCUGGACUGACACUGACGCUGAGGUGCGAAAGCGUGGGUAGCAAACAGGAUUAGAUACCCUAGUAGUC